rnacentral:misc_RNA from 1 species
CAGAGUCGUAAAAAACUCCAAACCCAUGUGAAUUUACCUUUGUUGCCUCGGCGGACCUACCUGGUACCUACCCUGUAGCCCGCCGGUGGACCAUAUAACUCUUGUUAAUUUAUAGAAAUCUGAGCGUCUUAUUAAAUAAGUCA